rnacentral:rRNA from 1 species
AUUGAACGCUGGCGGCAGGCCUAACACAUGCAAGUCGAGCGGAUGAAGGGAGCUUGUUCCUGGAUUCAGCGGCGGACGGGUGAGUAAUGCACAGGAAUCUACCCGGUCUAGGGGGAUAACAUCAGGACACGAGCGCUAAUACCACAUACGACCUGAUGGUGAAACUGGGGGAUCUUAGGACCUAACGCUAUCAGAUGAGCCUAGGUGGGAUUAGCUAGUUGGUGGGGUAAGGGCCUACCAAGGCGACGAUCCAUAACUGGUCUGAGAGGAUGAUCGGUCACACUGGAACUGAGACACGGUCCAGACUCCUACGGGAGGCAGCAGUGGGGAAUAUUGGGCAAUGGGCGAAAGCCUGAUGCAGCAAUGCCGCGUGUGUGAAGAAGGUCUUCGGAUUGUAAAGCACUGUAAGUAGGGAGGAACAGCAGUAUGUUUAUACGUUGCUGUUUUGACGUUACCAACUGAAUAAGCACCGGCUAACUUCGUG